GGUUUUAUAAUAUGAAAUUAGGGUUAUAAAAGAAAGUAGGUUUACUCGUUCUUAUUUCUUUAGACAAUCGCAGUGCAUGCAGGAAGAGUACUCAACAUGAAGAAAUCUGUGUAUCUUCCUCAUGAAUUGAUCAUUCAAAUCCUACUAAGGUUACCAGUUAAGUCUCUUGUUCGUUUCAAAUGCGUUUGUAAGUUGUGGUUUUCUCUUAUCUCUGAUUCUUGUUUUGCAAAUUCACAUUUUGAACUCACAGCCGCAACACACGACCGUAGAAUUAUGUUAAUAUCAACUCUCUUUCAUGAAUCUCGAUCUAUAGAUUUUGAAACAUCACUUAACCAUUUUUCUACUUCACCCAGCCUUGAUUUCUUGCGUCCCCAUUCCCAAUCUAAUUUUCAUAUUGAAAUGAAAAGUUCAUGUAGAGGCUUUAUACUUUUGUACUGUUCUUGGAAUUUCUCUACUUCAAGCAUCUCUCUAUGGAAUCCAUCCACCGGAGUGCACAAACACAUACCUUCAAUUGUUUCCAAUUUAGACCCUGAUGAUAUCUUUUAUCUAUAUGGUUUUGGAUAUGACGAGUCAACCGAUGAUUACUUGGUGGUUUCCAUGUCAUGUGAUUCAAGUAGUGUCUUCCUUAACAUUUCAUCCCGUUUGAAUAUUUUUUCAUUGAGAGCUAAUACAUGGAAAGAAAUUGAGUAUACUGGAUUGUUGAACUAUAGUCAAUUUCAUUACAUGGACGACUCUGGUUAUGAUCACGGAGUAGGGUUUCUCUGUAAUGGGGCUCUACAUUGGUUGGCUUCUCGUGAUGAUUUAAACGUUUAUGUUAUUUUUGCUUUUGAUUUAGUGGAAAGAGAACUUUUAGAGAUGUCCUUUCCGGAUGAUUUUGACCAUGAUUUUGACCAAGAACCUACUGAUUGUGAUUUGUGGGUAUUUGGAGAAUUUCUCAGUCUAUGGGCUAUGGAGGAACGUACUCUUGUUAAUAUAUGGAUUAUGAAAGAAUACGGAGUGCAUUCGUCUUGGACUAAGACUCUUGUUUUGUCUAUUGUUGCCAUUCCGACUCGGUACUUUUAUCCAAUAUGUUAUACAAGAAAUGGUGAAAUUAUUGGAACCGAUGGUGGUACUGGAUUGGUUAAGUAUGAUGACAAAGGACAAUUGCUAGAGCAUCGUUCAUAUUCUAAUGAUCCGGAGGGAUCUCAAGUCGCCGUGUAUAUAGAGUCUCUGCUUUCACUCCCUUCUAACAAUGAACAGGCUUAAGAAGACGACACGAACAAGAAGAAUGAGGGGAGAUCUUCUCCUCUUCUGCAGAAUGUUGAUAGGCAAGCUGAAGUUCGUCGUAUUACGACCAAUGGAUGAUAUUGAUAUUCAACGGUACCUUCUUGUUUUGGUUGAAGCAGAGGAAAUUCUUGGACCUUCAAAACAUAGUUCACAGAUGUACUUUUGCUUGUGAGCAUGAGAAUUGACACAUUAAUGCAUUCAUCAUUCUGUUAGAACCCUUGUUUCGAUAGGCAGUAGAGAGAAUUGUUUUCUCUCAACUGAGAAGCUUUGGCUCUGGUAGUUUGUAUUCCAUUCCUUACAUCUAUUUCCAAUAUAAUCAGUCAAUUCUUCAUCCAUUUUCAAUAGCCGUUACUUCUGUUCUAUAAUUAAAACUUUGCUCUUUCAUCAAUUAGACACUGCAGAGGUAAGAGUUGUGUUUCAUGAGCAUGCAGAAAUAGAAGUAUGGGAAAUGAACAUAGCUAUUUCACUGUUGUAUCGAACACAGACUAACAAUAUUUAUGUGGAGCAGCCAAAGAAUUAUGUGAAGAAAGGUAGUGAGCACAAAGUCUACAAGCUACUGAAGGCAUUAUGUGACUGGGGAUUAACACGUAAGAAAAACAAGAUAUAUUUUAGUUAAAAUUGAACAUACUUCAUGUCUUUUAUGUUACGUGGAAAUACUACUAGGAGGAGAAUUCUUGAGAACUAGAAUACACAUUUAUAUUAGACCUUUGCAUACAUGCUUUAUAGAAGCUGUUACUUGCACAACGAAAAGAGAGCAAAAUAGUAGUCAUCUCACUGUGCACCUUAUAUGGAAAUUACAUUGCUAGCAGUCAUCUAAAAGCUUCUCCUAUGAAGAAUGCAGUUAUGUUCCUGUUCUUGAUUGAACUACACUUUUUAUAAUCUAUGAUGGAAAUUCAUUACUAUUUUGCAGUUUGUGAAUUUGGUUUAUCAGUCUGCAUCACCAAGUAUAUGUAUCUCUAUUGAGGAAUUGUGUUUUUUAUUGGAAAACAAUAUAUUAGUAACCCAUUUGUUUUUCUCCGCUAACAAUGCUUGGGAAUGAGGUGUUAAAUAUUAAGAUGUGGAAUAAUUUCACUCCAUCAAAGUAGGUGAUCUUCGCUUAGCAACUGAGUCAAGAUAGGAUUAUGUUGAAGGAUAAGUUGUUCAUUAGAGAAUUUAUUGGUAGAUAAUAGAGAUGAUAUAAAUUGCGUUGGAGGUUGUGGAGUGGAAGAGACAUCGUGUUACUGAUUUUUCGAAUGUUCUGUUUUUUUUUAAAGUGUAGAAAUCACUUCAUUAUAAUUUUAAGCGUGCUUGUCGGAUGAGUUUACUACUUUAGGGGCCAAAACAAAUUGAUAAGUAGGGGCCAAAACAAAUUGAUCAUUACUCAGACUUUUUUCACAGAAAUUUCUAGUAUUUCGUACCGGAAAUUUCAAAAUUGGAAGUUAGGGUUUCCUUAGGAGAUGAAACAAGAUGGAUCACAAUUUAGUGGUUUGUUGUUUUAAUUUAUGUUUCUACAUUUAAGUUUCAUCAAGUUCUAAUGUUUUGUUAUCAUUGGUUUACACUUUAUAUACUUAAUUUUAUCAAGAUUUUCAAGAUAAAUAUGAAGAAGAAACUCUCAGUAGAUGCACCAGCUAAAAAUAGCAAUAGUGAUUUAUAGUUUGAUGGUCAAAACACCAAAAUCACUUUUAAACCUGAUUUUCAAAGACUCAGCCAGAAUGGUAGCGGAGGUUUUAAGGACUUGUUUCAAUUGUUGAAAAAGCAAGCAAUCGACAUAACAUGGGGUUUAUAUUUUACUAUCUCUGACUUUUUAAACUGUGGAAGAUCUAUAUUUUUAGAAUAAUGCUAUUUAGUACGAAAGUAUUUGAAUAAGAAACACAAGAAUGUACCUGUGUCAUUAAUAUAGUUGAUAUUUUUAAAAUUAUUUUUAAUUUAAUUUCCUUUUUAAUAGGAAUUAUGGGGUGGUAUUUGAUAUUGAAUGGUUGAGAUUUAUUCUUGCCUUUUUUGUUUUAAUAUUUUCUUAACAUUAAACAUUUUCCAUAUUUCUACUAUUGGAUAUGUUUUUUUAACUCAACAACAUUGUAUUUUCAAAAACCAUGAUGACG